UGGGGAAUUUUGGACAAUGGGGGCAACCCUGAUCCAGCGAUGCCGCGUGAGUGAAGAAGGCCUGCGGGUUGUAAAGCUCUUUCAGUGGGGAGGAAGGCCCCGAAGUGAAUACCUUCGGGGAUUGACGUUACCCGCAAAAGAAGCACCGGCUAACUCUGUGCCAGCAGCCGCGGUAAUACAGAGGGUGCGAGCGUUAAUCGGAAUUACUGGGCGUAAAGGGCGUGUAGGUGGUUAUGUAAGUUUGAUGUGAAAGCCCCGGGCUUAACCUGGGAACUGCGUUGAAAACUGCAAGACUAGAGUUGGACAGAGGGUGGUGGAAUUUCCGGUGUAGCGGUGAAAUGCGUAGAGAUCGGAAAGAACAUCCGUGGCGAAGGCGGCCACCUGGGUCCAAACUGACACUGAGGCGCGAAAGCGUGGGGAGCAAACAGG
rnacentral:rRNA from 1 species